UGGGUAGUCCGCACGAGCGCACCUCGACCCUUAGUUGCCAGCAUUUAGUUGGGUACUCUAAGGGAACUGCCGGCGACAAGCCGGAGGAAGGUGGGGAUGACGUCAAGUCCUCAUGGCCCUUAUGGGCUGGGCUACACACGUGCUACAAUGGCGGUGACAGUGGGUUGCGACCCUGCAAAGGUGAGCUAAUCUCCAAAAGCCGUCUCAGUUCGGAUUGUUCUCUGCAACUCGAGAGCAUGAAGUCGGAAUCGCUAGUAAUCGCGUAUCAGCAUGACGCGGUGAAUACGUUCCCGGGCCUUGUACACACCGCCCGUCACACCAUGGGAGUUGGUUUUACCCGAAGACGGUACGCUAACCCGCAAGGGAGGCAGCCGGCCACGGUAAGGUCAGCGACUGGGGUGAAGUCGUAACAAGGUAGCCGUAGGGGAACCUGCGGCUGGAUCACCUCCUUUC
rnacentral:rRNA from 1 species